rnacentral:snRNA from 1 species
AGCUUUGCAGAGUGGCAGCAUAGCAGUCAGUGAGGUUUAUCUGGGGCAUGAUUACAGCUAAUUGAAAACUUUCCCCAAUACCCUGCGUGACUACUUGAAAUAUAGUUGGCAUUAGCAAUUCUAUAUUUCUCUACAGAUA